rnacentral:tRNA from 1 species
GAGGGUAUAGCUCAAGUGGUAGAUCAUAUGCUUAGCAUGCAUGAGGUCCUGGGUUCAACCCCUAGUACCUCCU